AGCGAACGCUGGCGGCGUACUUAACACAUGCAAGUCGAACGAGGGGUUUCGGUGUAGCAAUACAUCGGAGCUUCUAGUGGCGCACGGGUGAGUAACACGUGGGCAACCUGCCCUUGAGUCCGGGAUACCCUCUCGAAAGGGAGGCUAAUACUGGAUACGUUCUUCGGAUCGCAAGGUCUGGAGAGGAAAGGUAGCGAAAGCUGCCGCUCUUGGAGGGGCUCGCGGCCUANCAGCUAGUUGGUGAGGUCACGGCUCACCAAGGCUAUGACGGGUAGCUGGUCUGAGAGGACGACCAGCCACACGGGAACUGAGACACGGUCCAGACUCCUACGGAGGCAGCAGUGGGGAAUUUUUCGCAAUGGGCGCAAGCCUGACGAAGCAAACGCCGCGUGUAGGAUGAAGGCCCUAG
rnacentral:rRNA from 1 species